rnacentral:rRNA from 1 species
GUGGGGAAUAUUGCACAAUGGGCGCAAGCCUGAUGCAGCGACGCCGCGUGAGGGAUGACGGCCUUCGGGUUGUAAACCUCUUUCAGCUCCGACGAAGCGUAAGUGACGGUAGGGGCAGAAGAAGCGCCGGCCAACUACGUGCCAGCAGCCGCGGUAAGACGUAGGGCGCAAGCGUUGUCCGGAUUUAUUGGGCGUAAAGAGCUCGUAGGCGGCUGGUCGCGUCGACUGUGAAAACCCGCGGCUCAACCGUGUGGUCUGCAGUCGAUACGGGCUGGCUGGAGUUCGGUAGGGGAGACUGGAAUUCCUGGUGUAGCGGUGAAAUGCGCAGAUAUCAGGAGGAACACCGGUGGCGAAGGCGGGUCUCUGGGCCGAUACUGACGCUGAGGAGCGAAAGCGUGGGGAGCGAACAGG